rnacentral:pre_miRNA from 1 species
GCUGCCAUGGUGCCAGCUGCAGUGGGAGAGGCGUAGCUGGGGCUGCAUGCUCCACAGAGCCAGCAGGAGCCAGGAAUGGG